AGCUGGGCAGUAUUUUGUCAACUUAGUUACUUAGCAAGAGCAAUCCCUUCAACAUGGAGAUCUUGGGCCUCGUGGACGUCCCGUUGUACGUCCUUCUAGCCGUGGCGGUGGCUGUGCUGAUCUAUAUACAUGGAACGUGGAACUUCAAUUACUUCAA